rnacentral:rRNA from 1 species
UACCUGCAGCUCUAGUGGUGAUCGCUAUUAUUGGGCCUAAAACGUCCGUAGCCGGCUUAUUAAAUGCCUGGGUAAAUCGUGUAGCUUAACUAUACGAAUUCCGGGUAGACUGAUAGGCUUGAGACCGGGAGAAGCUAGAGGUACUCCUGGGGUAGAGGUGAAAUUCUGUAAUCCUAGGGGGACCACCAGUGGCGAAGGCGUCUAGCUAGAACGGGUCUGACGGUGAGGGACGAAGCCCUGGGGCGCAAACCGGAUUAGAUACCCGGGUAGUCCAGGGUGUAAACGCUGCUUGCUUGAUGUUAGUUGGGCUCUGAGCCCAAUUAGUGUCGGAGAGAAGUUGUUAAGCAAGCUGCCUGGGAAGUACGGUCGCAAGACUGAAACUUUAAAGGAAUUGGCGGGGGAGCACAGCAACGGGUGGAGCGUGCGGUUU